rnacentral:rRNA from 1 species
UACAGAGGUCCCAAGCGUUGUUCGGAUUCACUGGGCGUAAAGGGUGCGUAGGCGGUCGGGUAAGUCGGAUGUGAAAUCUCACAGCUUAACUGUGAAACUGCAUUGGAUACUAUCCGGCUAGAGGAAUGGAGGGGAGACUGGAAUACUUGGUGUAGCAGUGAAAUGCGUAGAUAUCAAGUGGAACACCAGUGGCGAAGGCGAGUCUCUGGACAUUUCCUGACGCUGAGGCACGAAAGCCAGGGGAGCAAACGGG